GUGCCCUAGAAAGAAAGACAACUCCUUAAGAAAAUAAAAAAAAUAUUCCCAGCAGAAACAUCCUUGGACCUCCUAUGGCUUCCCAAUGCAGUCUGUCAUAUCCCUUUAAAAGUGCCUAAUGCAAGAACAAGCUAAUUCUUACAUGUUCACCCUCUGACACAUACUACAGAAUAGUUCAUUAAAACAAUUACUUCAGCAGCAAGGUCUUAAGAUUGAUUCCAAACAGUCUGAGGACGAUAAUAUACAGCCAAAAAUUAGAAUGUUUAAUUCUGGAAAAAUAAACACCCCAGACUGAGUGUGGAACCCAAUUCUAAAGUUGCGAUCAGUGGAGCAUGACCUCAAAGACAUCUUCCUCGCUGUCUCCCAAGGAGCUAUCUGUAAAGUCUCAUCUGCUUGGGAAGGUAUAAGACCAAGGAUAACCCCACAUCUACGUUUAAAGAGACCAACAUGAUCCAAGUGAUUGCUGACCUCUUCAUAGCAGGUUCAGACACCACCACAAUCUCUUUAUUGUGGUCUAUCCUCUACAUGAUGGCACACCCAGAAAUACAAGGGUGAAUUUGAACGCCCGCAGCAGGUUGGAGAAGAAGAUGAAGAGCUCAAUCCUUGCCAUCUGCUCUCCCAGACAUACCCG